rnacentral:rRNA from 1 species
AGUGAACGCUGGCGGCAGGCCUAACACAUGCAAGUCGAGCGGCAGUGCGGGGGCAACCCUGGCGGCGAGCGGCGGACGGGUGAGGAAUUCGUCGGAAUCUGCCUUUUUGUGGGGGAUAACGUAGGGAAACUUACGCUAAUACCGCAUACGUCCUACGGGAGAAAGUGGGGGACCGCAAGGCCUCACGCAGAAAGAUGAGCCGACGACCGAUUAGCUAGUUGGUGGGGUAAAGGCCCACCAAGGCGACGAUCGGUAGCUGGUCUGAGAGGAUGAUCAGCCACACUGGGACUGAGACACGGCCCAGACUCCUACGGGAGGCAGCAGUGGGGAAUAUUGGACAAUGGGCGCAAGCCUGAUCCAGCCAUGCCGCGUGUGUGAAGAAGGCCUUCGGGUUGUAAAGCACUUUUGUCCGGAAAGAAAUCCCUGGAGCUAAUACCUUCGGGGGAUGACGGUACCGGAAGAAUAAGCACCGGCUAACUUCGUG